rnacentral:miRNA from 1 species
UCGGCACUGGACGAGGCACAGCG